UUCUGCAGGGUACUUUACGUGAUGUGAUCUUGGUGAUUCAGAGUGGUGCUGCCGCCAGCUAUUUCUUCAGCCUCGCGUUUACUAGACAAUGACCCAACACACCUCCAGGCCGUGUAAGGGCUAUUUCACCAAGAAGGAGAGUGAUGGAGUGCUGCAUCAGAUGACUUGGCCUCCACAAUCCCCCGACCUCAACCAAAUUGAGAUGGUUUGGGAUAAGUUGGACCACAGAAUGAAGGAAAAGCAGCCAACAAGUGCUCAGCAUAUGUGGGAACUCCUUCAAGACUUUUAGAAAAGCGUUCCAGGUGAAGCUGGUUGAGAGAAUGCCAAGAGUGUGCAAAGCUGUCAUCAAGGCAAAGGGUGUCUUUUUUUAAGAAUAUAAAAUAUAAAAUGUUUUGGGAUUUGUUAAAUACUUUUUUUGGUUUCUACAUGUGUUAUUUCAUAGUUUUGAUGUCUUAAAAAAUAAAAAAUAAAGAAAAACCCUUGAA